rnacentral:rRNA from 1 species
ACUGAACGCUGGCGGCAUGCCUUACACAUGCAAGUCGAACGGCAGCACGGGAGCAAUCCUGGUGGCGAGUGGCGAACGGGUGAGUAAUAUAUCGGAACGUGCCCAGUCGUGGGGGAUAACGCAGCGAAAGCUGUGCUAAUACCGCAUACGAUCCAUGGAUGAAAGCGGGGGAUCGCAAGACCUCGCGGGAUUGGAGCGGCCGAUAUCAGAUUAGCUAGUUGGUGGGGUAAAAGCCCACCAAGGCGACGAUCUGUAGCUGGUCUGAGAGGACGACCAGCCACACUGGAACUGAGACACGGUCCAGACUCCUACGGGAGGCAGCAGUGGGGAAUUUUGGACAAUGGGCGCAAGCCUGAUCCAGCAAUGCCGCGUGCAGGAUGAAGGCCUUCGGGUUGUAAACUGCUUUUGUACGGAACGAAACGGCGAGCUCUAAUAAAGUUUGCUAAUGACGGUACCGUAAGAAUAAGCACCGGCUAACUACGUGCCAGCCGCCGCGGUAA